rnacentral:lncRNA from 1 species
CCGAUCUCCUUCCUCGCACUGAAUCUGACCAUGGCCUUCCCCUCGCACCUCAGAUCUCCAACUUCUAUGCUCAGAUUAGGCGGCAACAUACUCAGAUCGGGUGCUUCCUAGGGGCACGAACACCCAUGGCGGUGACCUAGCGAGCCCCAUGGACAGCUGACGCGGAGACCUGGCGUCCUCGUAGACUACCGGCACCUGCACGGCUGCACGAACACCUGGUGCAGUGACCUCGCGUGCCACCGUCAGGCAGCACUCGCAUGAACGCCCAGCUUGUAGAUCUCGCUGGGCACCGGCGGGGACCUUGAAAGCCCAAGUUUGGUUUUGGUAAUUAAUGACACCAAGUUGCUAAUGCCUUGUGUCUAAGUGAUUUGAGUUAGGCACAUCAACACAUGUGACGAAGGUGCAUGGUGGCAUGGAGAGGUGGCCACAUGAUCACAAAGGGAUGAAGCAUGAAGCGAAGAUCAUGGUGUUAGAGGAGGAGCAAAGUGAUCAAGGCAAAGGUAUAAACAUAGAGUUUUACUUUUGCCGGUCUAAAAUGAGUUGAGAAGUGAUUGACCGAGUUUAGGAUAGAUAGCCGACUAUCAAGAGGGGAAAUCACGGUCAUCUCUCGAAUCAAGUGCUACUAGGUCCAUAUCUUGAGCAGAUGCAUUAGGAUCUAGUAAAGUGUUGACUUAACUCCUUUGGUGAAAAUGUUUGUGAAAAGCUAACUCACUUGCACUUUGGUGGUGGACACAUGUUGGUGUUAGCACAUUUACAAAGGAGGUGGAGUUCCUAGGGUUGAGAGGGGAGGUGCACUUCGGCGCUUUUGAGAAAAAUAAGUGCACAUUUUCUAUUGCGUCGAUGGAAAUUUGAAGAAGUCACGGGAGUGUUUUCUCACUAAGAAACACUCACCGGACGCUGAGUGCGGAGGCACCGGACGCUGGCCUCAGAGUCCGGUGUGCUUGACCCUGCUAGGGUUGAGCACCGGACGCACUCUGAGAGCGUCCGGUGGUUAGCGUCCGGUGUGCGGGCGUUUUGCGACCCUCUCUGCGCAUGGGUCCGGUGAGCACCGGACGCUACCGGUGCUUAGCGUCCGGUGACCCGUAGGUUUGCGGAACUCUCUGCGCAUGAGUCUGGUGUGCACCGGACGCGUCCGGUUGAAAGGUCCUUGUUUGGUUUUGGUAAUUGAGUGACAACUUAGAUGGACUAAUAGUGUUUAUGUGAGAUACACAGGAGAUUAGUCCACAGGUGAUGAUAUGAUGAUGGAGGAGCUCAUUGCAUAUGAGACAUGACAUGGAGUCAUGUGACCAAGGUGGAGAAGAUCAAGAUGAGGCUUGGCUCGAUGGACCGGUUGCAAGAGUGAAGGGCAAGUCGGAGGCUUUGAAGCGAGGGACCGCGUGUGACGGUGUAGCUUGAGCAAGACUUGGCGCCGAUGGACCGAGGCAACGGUGAAGAGCAAGUGAGGUCAAGAUCGAUGAACCAAUACGGUCACGUGAUGAUAUGAAGUGGAUCAUAUCAUUUGGUGAUUGGUUGGUGCAUGUGUUGCAUCAACAUUGGAGGAGAUGAAAUGGAAAGCGCAAGGCAAAGGUAUAACUUAGGGCAUUUCCAUUUCACCAGUCAUAGGUGUGUAGAGAAGUUUAUGACCGGAUUUAGGAUAGAUGGCCGUACUAUCAAGAGGGGCAAACUUGUUUGCAUAUCGGUCAUCUAGUGCCACUUGAGCGAUCUAACUUUGCAUACGUGUUAGGAUCGAGUGGCGUGACAAGUUGAGAGGCUAACUCCCUUGGAAAAAUAUUUGAGAAAAUGCUAACACACGUGCACAUGGUGGUUUACACUUGGUGGUGUUGGCACUUUUUCAAAGGAGGUGGAGUUCCUAGGGUUGAGAGGCGCUUUUGAGAAAAUUAAGUGCAUAUUUUCUAUUGCGCCGGUGGGAAAUUAGGAGAAGUUGCGGGAGUGUUUCUCUCUGAGAAACACUCACCGGACGCUGGUGUUGGCAAGCACUGGACGCUGGUCCAGAGCGUCCGGUGUGGUGUCUUUGACUCAGUGAGCAGAGCGCACUGGACGUUGGCACCGGACGCUGGGCGGUUGCUGUUCGAGCGUCCGGUGGUGCGUGACGUCAGUGAGUGUUUCUGACUGGAGAGCACCGGACGCUCAGGGUGCGUCCGGUGGCUUGCGUCCGGUGACCGUGCGAGUUUGCGGAGCUCUCUACGCACGAGUCCGGUGAGCACCGGACGCGUCCGGUGUGACGCAGUAGAGCGUCCGGUGGUGCUGUGCAGGCGCGCGUGCGCAGUAGCCAUUGGUGGCAACGGUCGUUUUCAAACGGCUAGUGACACGUGGCUGACGCCCGAGCACCGGACGCUGGGGGUUGAGCGUCCGGUGGCUCCCUGUGAGCGUCCGGUGCCCACGUGUUUUGCCCAGUGAAGGGGCAACGGCUAGUUUAGCCCUUGGGGCUAUAAAUAGAAAUGGUGGUCGGCCUUGGCUGGUGCUGAGCACCCUUGGGACUUAGUGUCCAUGCUUGGGGAGUGCUAGUGAAGCCUCUAACUCACAUAUGCUUGAUAGUGUUCAUCCGAUUGUGUGAGUGAGCGAUUCUAGUGCGUUGCAUUGAGAGAUUGCAUCGAGUGGCACUAGGUGUUCGUGUUGCAAGCCGGUGGUGCUUGUUACUCUUGGAGGUUGCCACCUCCUAGACGGCUUGGUGGCUUAUGACUCCGUCGAAGCACGCAAGGAGAUUGUGCGGUGCUCCGGAGAAGAGAUUGUGAGGGGUACGGUGCUCACCCCGCGGGGAUCGCGAAGAGCAACUCUAUUGGAUCGUGCGUCUCAUUGAGCUACCUCACUUGUGGGUAGGUUCUUGCGGUGUCCUAGUGGGUACGAGGUUCGUGUAACACCUCUUAGCCGCCGAACCACCAAGUGUUGGUCGACACAAUGGGGACAUAGCUUGGUGGCAACCAAGUGAACCUCGGAAGAAAAUCAUCGUGUCAACAUUGUUCUUCCCGUUGGUUUGCAAGUCCCUAACACAAGCUUGUUUUUACAUUUCUACAUUUGUGCUUGUGUAGUUGCUCUUGUAAUUAGUUAGCUUGUGUAGCUUGCUAGUUGCCUUCUUGCUUGUGUAGCUAGAAGUAGUUCCCUUGCGUGACUAAUUUGGUUUGUGUAACCUUGUUAGUCACCUUGCUUAGUUUGUGUAGCUAAGUAAGUUGCGCUCUCUAAUUUGGCAUUAGUUGCCUUGUUAUUGAGCUUGCUAGUGAGCUUAGGCUUUGUGCGCUUUGCCUCACUAGUUUGUGUAGGAGCUCCCCGGUUUGCAAAGUACUAGUUGCAUAGGUUUGUGUGACCUUGCUCCUAGAAUUGGUUAGGUGAGCUCUUGCUAAGGUAGCACCUUGCUUGCUUGUUUAGGAUCUUUUGAAGGUGCUAGAGAACUUAGAUAGAGGGGUGUAGUCUUGGCUAGACCGAUAGUUUUAAUUCCGCAUUUGUUUUCGGUUAGCCGGCGUAAUAACUUUUAGAAAGGACUAUUCACCCCCCCUCUAGUCCGCCAUCUCGACCCUUCACCGGUGUAGACCUGCAGAGCGUCCGGUGAUCCGCAGGUGACCGUUAGGAUCUGACACACGAGAUUCAAGAAGGACACGUGGCCAACUCCAGUACACCGGACGCUGGGGGUCGAGCGUCCGGUGCUCACUUAGUAGCGUCCGGUGCCCCCGUUUUUAGCCCAGUGAAAACAGCCAACGGCUAGUUUCUUUGAGGGGCUUAUAAAUAGUUGGUGGCCGGCUUUGGGAGGUUCUCUCUUGCACAUUUGAUUACUUGAGACAUACAUUGAGCUAGAGAACACUCCCUCCACUCAUCUCCUUGCUUGAUUGCUCAUCCUAGUGAGAUUGAGUGAGAUUCAAGUGCAUUGCUUUGAGAGUUGCAUUUAGUGGCACUUGAUUCUUGAGUUUGUUGUGGAUUUCUUAUUACUCUUGGGUGUUUCCCGACGCUCUAGACGGCUUGGAGCAGCGGUGGUGUUGAGCUCGUGAUUGGAGAUUGUUUCGAGCCUCACCAAUUGAUUUGUGAGGGGUUCUUGAGCCUUCCCCGCGGGAGAUCGCAAUUGGCUACUCUAGUGGAUUGCUCGUGGCUUGGAGGAUCCCCAUCUUGUGAGUGGAUGUGCGGCACCCGCUGAGGGUUUGGCUUUGAAUUGCCAAUCAGCUCGUGAUCCAUCAAGUGGGUGUAUCGCCACAACGAGGAGUAGCUUGCCGGGAAGCAAGUGAACCUCGGUAAAAAAUCUUGUGUCAUCUCUUGCCGAGGUCUCUCUUGUGAUUGUGUACGUGAUUGAUUGGAUAUAUUUCUACUCUACAACGUUGGUAUAACAAUCACUCCUCUCUCCUUUACCUUUGUGCAUACCUUGCUAGUUGUGUAGCUUGUUUAGCUUAACUAUCUUGUUUAGGAGUGUAGCAAGCUUCUAGUUGUGCUUUCUUGUUGUAACUAGUGUUUAGCUUUCUUGCUAGACUUGUGUAGGUGGCUUGCAUAGAUUAGUAGUGCUAGUGCUAGAAUAGCUUCGCCUUUUGUUUUACUAAUCAACUUGUCUAGUUGAAGUUUGUAGAAAUUUUAAAUAGGCUAUUCACCCCCCCCCCUCUAGCCAUUUGGACCUUUCAGACCUCAGCGUGUGUAGACUCCUGAACCAGGGUAUACAAACAGUAAGGCGCGGGACUCACGGGGCACUAAUCCGUUCCUCUGCAUUUCAGCAGGUAUAAUCAUUUUCUAUCUCUGAUCCGUGCAUAUUAAAAGCAGUUGCUGCUGAGAGUUGGAGUUUAUUGCCUAACUAGUAUAACGAGUUUGAGUUUGUCACCUUCGAUCUGUGCAUAGUACUUUUUUUUGCAAAGUAUGAAUAAACAAUAAAAUAAAAUUAUAAUUGUCUUAUUUUAGAUAUGAUUAUAAAUAAUUUUAAGAAAACACACGAUCUUAAAAUUACAUGGAUGAGAUUCUACUCUUCAUCUAGUUCAUGUUGUUGUGUACUGAAUUUCUGCCAUAUGUACUCUAUCAAAUCUUCCUUGAGAUGGAUGUGAGUGGAUCAAUUGCGAAUUUUGAGAGAAUUUUCAUGUCUUUGUCUAGUACAUCUCUGAAUCCAUAGAUUGGUCCAUGUGCAAACCUAGUUAAAUUUGAGGAAGAUUGCCCUUGCUCAUAUGUGUUAUCAUUUGGUAUGUCUUUAGAUAAUUAUGCUUUGCUUAAAACCUGGUCAUUUGUGUUCAUGUUAUCAAAGUUGACAUAUAGUUUGAUUAAGACACCAUUGUCUACUAGUGACUUUAGGAUUUUAUAUUUUCAUGGAAUAUAUAAAUGUCUAGUAUGGUGUGUGGUUUGCUUCUUCUGAAGUCAUUUUUCCUCUAGCUUAUUCAUGCAUCUGGUGCCUGUGAUGAUAUUGACAUUUGUUAGACUAUAUUUUGCUCGACUGCAUAUUCUCUCUAAUUAACUGUCACUGUUUUGGACUCAGAACUAGGAUAGUUUUAGUUCUAUGUAUUUAGCUACUUCCAUUUCCCACCUUAUAUUUAUGGAUGUUUGAGGUUUACAUUUUUAUAUAUUUUAAUCAUAACAUGUUCCUUCCAAUCAAUUUCUUCCCCAUCCUGUUCAAUGAGAAAUUUACUUGACUAUUUCAAUUCAUACUUGUAGUGUCAUACUUUAUACCAUCAACACUUAAUCUCUAUAAAUAAUUAAAAGUAUUAUUUUCCUAAAACAAAAUAAUCAUAUGAAAUGACUAAACUGAACAUAUGGAUAGUGCCUGAUAACACAAGAUUGGAUGGUACAUGAUAUCAUUUAACUAAUGCAAUUUGUACUAUAAUAUGUGAGCAGUAGUCAAGAGGUUGUAUCAUUAAUCUGCAGUAGUGCAUAUUUUAAAUAAACACAAUAUUACUAGUGAGUUCUACAUAUAAGUUACAUAUUUAUUUUGUAUAAUUUGUACAUAAACAUAACUUUUUUAUAAAGUAGUGUAACUUAUGUACCAAAGUUAUAUUGUGUUACUUAAGUUGCGCAGAAUAACUUAUGAACAUAAGUUUAAUAAAAUAAUUUAUGCAUAAAACUUUUAUGUCUAACUUUUUGCACAUAACUUUAUGUCUAACUUUUUUAUAAAAUCUAUAGUUGUUCACUGUCUAACUUUUUGUCCAUAAGUUGUAUGGUUUAUUAUAUUUUCAUAUAACUUGUAGUCGUUAAUGAACUUGGUUUAUUAAAUUACAUGCUUAAGUUUUGUUUGUAACCUUUAUGUCUUAAAUGGGUACUUACUUAUCCAUUCUAAUAAGACUUUUAAUAUAUUUUUUUGCUUUUCACUCAACUGUUAUAUCUAACUUUUUGUACCUAUGAUUUUUGUGUUCGAGAAUCCUUAUCUUUGCUCUUUCUCAAACUUGUCAUGGUAUUCGAUUUCUACAUCAACAAGGUAUGACAGGUAUGAUUUUGUACUUAAUUUAUUACAUUCAUUGCUAUAGGAAAUAGUUUCUUCUAUUUUUUAUGAGAUUCUUCAUUCAAAUGUGCUUCUUAAUUUGCUCUAUACAUUUGUCAUUCAAACGUGUUUAUUAAUUUGCUAUAUACAUUUGUCCUAUAUAGAUUUUUAUCUAUUUUUUGUUUUCAUGUGUACUAACUAACUUAGUUGAUUAACUUAUUCUACAAAGUUAUGUAUCUAACUUAUAUUUUUAUAUGUAUAUUAUCUAACUUAGUUGGUUCAGUUAUUAUACAGAGUUAUGUAUCUAGUGUUAUUAUAUCUAUGCUAUCUAACUCAUUUGAUUAACUUACUAUCCAGUGUUAUGUACUUAACUUGUGUUUUUGUCUGUAUGUAAGAUAGUCAUCUUACUUUUCCUAUUAACUUAUGUUUUUCUUAUUGUGAACUUUUUUAUUUGUUAUUUUAAAUAUUAAAAUAUUUUGUAGAUCUUUCAAUUGAAGACACAUAUAUGCUCAAUGUCAUAGUUACAGAGAUGCAGAGACUAUCAUAGUUGCAGAAUUUAUGAAAGUUAUUAUUUAUCUGGUUGCUAGUUUGCAUCAUAUUAUGGAAUUUAUAGUGUAGUAUAUGUUACAAAAGUUACUUUUAUUUUGCUCUCCCACCCGUUUUAAAACCCUAUUCCCAUGUCUCCAAAUGAUCUCAGUUUUAAAUCUUAUUUAUAUGUCUAACUUAUUGUACAUAAGUUCAUUAGGUUUAUUGUAUUGAGUUAUGUAUCUAAUUCCUCUUUUUAUGUAUAGGCUACCUAACUUACUAGAUUAAUUUAGUGUACAAAGUCAUGUAAGUAACUUGUGUUUUUCAUGUGCUGCAUGCUAGCUAACUUACUUGUCUAAGUUACUAUUACAUCUAACUUGUGUUUUGUAUUUGUUAUUUUAAAUUUUACAAUUUAAUUAUUUUACAGAUCUACGAAUUGAAGAAACAGAUGCUGAGGUUAUCACUGCACAAGUUAAAAAAUCAAUUAUUUAUCUUGGUUUUCCAAGGGUGCAUCAUCAUUUUAUGGAAUCUAUUGUGUAGUAUAAGUUGUAAAAGUUACUUUUAUUUCAUCUCCCACCCUUUUAUAAACCCUCUUCUCAUGUCCCAAAUGUUUAGUUUUCUAAAAAGAGAAAAAACGACUCUUGAAACCUAAAAGGGAAUGCAGAAGAACGACUAAGUUAGCAAUGUUAAGUUAGUCCUCGAAGUUAUGUUGUUUAAAAGCACUGCUAAUUUAGUACGGUUAAGUUUAUCGUGGAAGUUAAGCUUUUUAAUUAUGUUUUAUAAGUUAUGAGCACAUGCUUCUUAAAAAAUGAAAAAAUAUUAAAGGGCGGGUGAUCCACCAAAAGAAAAUGAAAAGAGAAUCGAAUGCCUCAAAAGAGAAAGAGAAACAAUUUCUUGUUCUGUCUAAAAAGAGAAAGUAAUACGUGUACUUUCCAAAAAGGGUAAGAGAAUGCCA